CCUACGGGUGGCAGCAGUGGGGGAUAUUGCACAAUGGGGGGAACCCUGAUGCAGCGACGCCGCGUGGGUGAAGAAGCGCCUCGGCGCGUAAAGCCCUGUCAGCAGGGAAGUAAAUGACGGUACCUGAAGCAGAAGCCCCGGCUAACUACGUGCCAGCAGCCGCGGUAAUACGGAGGGGGCGAGCGUUAUCCGGAUUUACUGGGCGUAAAGGGGGCGCAGACGGGGUUGCAAGCCAGGAGUGAAAGCCCGGGGCCCAACCCCGGGACUGCCCUUGGAACUGGGUGGCUGGAGUGCAGGAGGGGCAGGCGGAAUUCGUGGUGUAGCGGUGAAAUGCGUAGAUAUCAGGAGGAACACCGAUGGCGAAGGCAGCCUGCUGGACUGCAACUGACGUUGAGGCCCGAAAGCGUGGGGAGCAAACAGGAUUAGAUACCCGUGUAGUC
rnacentral:rRNA from 1 species